ensembl:lncRNA GOT1-DT GOT1 divergent transcript
GGAGCCGAGCGAGCGGCGGGUGUCCCUGAGAGGCCACCUUUCGACCUUCGAGGGCCAGGAGGAUACGGGGAGGUGGCCGGAGGGAGUUCCCGAACACAGGUCUUCCUGUUCCCGCCGAGCAGGUGUUGGCGGUGCCAGGCCCGGCCUGGCGGGCCCGGGCUGGCAGCCAAAUACCCAGCGUCUGUGCUCGGGACGGGAGUGUUCGUCCAGGACGUGCAGCUCCGGAGCCUGCGCGGGCGACCUUGACCACCUUUGUCGGCUGUUUCCCCCUGAGGGAAGUAUACCUGUCCUGCCAGCCUUGGUCUCUGGCAGGGAAGGUCCUUCCAACAGAGAGGGAAUUGCUUAGAAUUGACUCAACACUGCCUCCUUGCUGAAUGGAUAAUUCAAGCAAACAACUCAAGAGCUGGAUGCUGCCCAGACAGGUAGGCAGCCAGAUAAAGUGAGUGUCCAGGGAAAGAGCAGUAAGGGUCAGAAGAGAAAGAGCCUGGUGUUCUCACUGCCUCCUGCCUUCCUUAUGACUGUCUGUUCAGAAGUCCUCCUAGCAUCUUUCUUCUGCCUUCCCCUGCUCCUGUCCCUGAAACCUUUUCUUCAAAAGAAGUGGAAAAGAGGAACUGGGAACCCAUAUAGCAACAGCAUCACCUGGAAUGAAUUCCUUUAGAACAUACUGUCUUGGAAAUCUGAAGCCUGCAGGGCUGGACAGGCAAGAAGAGCAGUGAGCACUGCAUGAACCUCACCCUUGAACUUCUAUAUGGUCUCCAAAGACAUGAUAAAUACAGAGAUUGCUCUCUCCUCUCAACUGCAACAGUAAUGAUUCCUUUGCAUUUUAAUUAAGUCUUUUACACAUGAAUAAGUCUUUAUCCUCAAAUGGACUAAAGACUCCUCGAGGACAAGAACUAUCCUUCAGUCCCAUACAUUGGUUACCUGGCAAAGGACCCUAAAUGCAGAUUAUGAAGUAGCUAUGGAAUUUGAAUGGGUUGAUUCUUCAGCUCCCAGAAAAAAACUUUGAUUGGUUUAACUGGCCACAGUAAUUGAUGUGGGAAUGAGGCCCUGACAUAAUUUCAACUUAGAAGACAUGUUCACUGGAAGUGAACUAGGAAGCAUGAAGUCUCAGACAUUCGACACUGAAAGAAUAAGCAGUCUUAGGAUGAAGGCAGUGCUAUGGACACCAGAACUCCAUGGUUCAGGCUGUUCAGCAUCAACUGUUCCUGACAGCCACCCUAACGUGCCUCCAGUUUCCUGGGCCAACAGAUGCCUGUCAUUGUUGAAGUUUCUUUGAGUUGGGUCUUCCGUUACUUACAAUUUAAAUCACCCUCACUGAUUACUAUGUACUUAAUUGUUCUCCUCCACUCUCUGCCAAUCCAUAUGCUGAAGCCUUAACCCCCAACGUGAUAGUAUUUGGAGACUGGAACUUUGGGAGAUAAUUAGAUUUAGAUGUGGUCAUGAGGAUGGGACCUUCAAGAUGAGAAUAGUAUCCUUAUAAAAAGUGGUACUAGAAAGCCUCUCUUUCUCUCUCUCUGCCACGUAAGAACACAGCAAGAAGGCAGCCAUCUGCAAGCCAGGAAGAGAGCCCUUACCAGAACUUGACCAUGCUGACACCCUGAUCUCAGAUGUGCAGCCUCCAGAACUGCAAAAAAGACACAUUUUCAUUGUUUAAGCUACCUAGUUUAUGGUAUUUUGUUACAGCAGCCCAAUCUGACUAAUACGCUGAUACAGGCAUAUUAGGGUACAUGCCACCAGCAGAGUGGUUCAACUGCAGGUCCACACUUACCCAGUGAAGGUGACUCAGCCUAGAGUGUGACUCAGUCUCUUCCCAACCCUGUCCGCAUCACCCCUGGAAGAGUCAGCUCCUCCCACAACUGCAGUCCUGACAGCAGCAUCAUGCCUCUGAAAUGAUCUUGCAAACAAGCUGUCAUUGGAGUGCUGAGAGAGUGGCAAUAUCAACUAAAAACAUGAAGAAGAAGAGCAACAAAGAGGAGGAAGAGGAGGAGAAGAGGGAAAGAAGUGAGGCGCUGUGGUGAAGAAUAGUACUUCUCAUCUCCACCAGAACAGCAGAGAACAAUGAAAGCACACCAUCAGGACGUCUCAGGGUACAGCCAGAAAAGCCAUUACCAUUUGUGCCAAUAUCUUUGAAAUCUUGUAUUUUGUCAUAAAAAGUUAUGCAGUUUCUGUAUUCUACUUCAUCAUGUGCCUUUAUAUUUUUUAUAUCAAAAUGUCUCCCUAAAAACCUUUGAGAAGGGCCAUUUUAUCUCAAAUCUUUGAAAUAAUUUCCUAGUCCCACCAUGCUUGCCCUGAGAUGUUCACACCCCAAUAUGAGAAGCACAUGUACAUCAGAAAGAGGACUGGACUUAGAGUUUUAAAUCUAAGUUCUUUUCCAAUACCAUGCUUUCCUAGUCUUGAUCUUGAAAAAUCACUCAUCAUCUUUAAGCUUCUCUUUCGUCAUGAGUGAAAGAAAGGAUGACACCAACACCUUCUCUCCCUUUCUCAUAGAAGCAUCAAGCUCCAAGUAGUUAAUGUGAGAAAAAGGACUUGGGAGAACAGGAAGCUCUGGCCUUUUUGUUGUGUAGGGUAUUUUCCCAAGAAUACUUUGGAAGUUUCCUUUAAUUUGUUCUUGGACUAACCUUUCCUAUUCACUCUGAUACCUUUUUGUUCAACCCUUGUAUCUGUGCAUGGAAGAGCACAGGAGGCAAAAAGAAUAAGGAUUUAUAGUCACUUGUCAAUAGGCGUGGAAGAGAAGUCAGAUUCUUAUUUAUUUGAGAUAAAGUCUAGCUCUGUUGCCAGGAUGGAGUGCAGUGGUGUGAUUUCUGCUCACUGCAACUUCCACCUCCUGGGUUCAAGUGAUUCUCCUGCCUUAGCCUCCCUAGUAGCUGAGAUUACAGGUGUGUACCACCACUCUCGGCUGAUUUUUGUAUUUUUAGUAGAGAUGGGGUUUCACCAUGUUGACCAAGCUGGUCUCGAACUCGUGACCUCAAAUGAUCCACCUACCUCGGCCUCCUAAAAUGCUAGGAUUACAGGCAUGAGCCACCGUGCUUGGCCAGAUUCUUAUUCUUGAGGUGACCUCUAUAUCCCUUCGUUCCCUUCAUGUCUGUAUCUUCCACCCUUAUCAUGGCAUCUCAAGUUUCCCUACUUAAGAGAAUCUGAGCCUGUAUCCCUCAUACUUGCCUUAUGGACAAAUCACCUGGGAUACAGGAAGGCAAGUGACUUCCAUCUGCAGUAACAGCUCUGGUUCAUUGGUUGCUUAGAACAUUACAUUGAGAAGAAUCACUCAAUGGGAAAGAAUAUAGAUGGGUUGGAGAUGUCUGCACAGACAGGGAAGUGAGAACAGCCACAUUUGUGGCAUCACUAGCUGUCCUUGGUUGACAGGCUCAAGAUGAGUC